AAACUGUAAUCACCAUUUGUAAAGAAAGAACAUAUUUAUCUCACUGUGAAUUGGUUGUCAGAUACUAUAAUAUCGUAUGACUUGUACCGGUGUCAAACCUUGGCAAUACGCGUAGGAUUUAACUAGGUGUAAUUAUUUGAUUUGUAUAAUCACGGUGAGGAUGCGUACACCGGAUAUUGCCAUUAAGUGAUAAGGUAUUUUCCGAAAACGUGAUUAUUUUUCGUCAACAAGGUAAAGAUGACAUUAUACUUCACAGCGAAAAUAACAAGCACCAGUUUGAACACUGAUAUUACAACUUACAAUUACAGCGGCAUGCCAAUAGUCAAUCCGAGGAACUGUCUAAAGACUAGCCAUUGCCGAGUAAAGACCCAGCCACAAGUUCAGCCGUGAAGUUUUAUAAUAAUGUAACACAUGAUAUGGUGACGAUAAGUGUGGAAAAGGUCUCCCCUUAUAAGAAGAGCAAACAUAAAAAUAUGUUAUCCUUUUGCCUUCAUACUACAAAGAGACAUAAACCUUGGUCAAAAGACUGACCUUUAUCGAUUAUGGUGUCAAUAGUUCAAAGGUCAAGGUGGUAGAGGCUUUGAACUUUUAAAGUGGUUUCUCCUCAAUAACCUUAGACUCAUUUGACGAAGAACCUUCGAACUAGUUUCACUUGAAAUUU
rnacentral:lncRNA from 1 species